AUGAAGACAGCUAGUAGAGGUGAUGGAAUUCCAGUUGAGCUAUUUCAAAUCCUGAAAGAUGAUGCUGUGAAAGUGCUGCACUCAAUAUGCCAGCAAAUUUGGAAAACUCAGCAGUGGCCACAGGACUGGAAAAGGUCGGUUUUCAUUCCAAUCCCAAAGAAAGGCAAUGCCAAAGAAUGCUCAAAAUACCACACGAUUGCAGUCAUCUCACACGCUAGUAAAGUAAUGCUCAAAAUUCUCCAAGCCAGGCUUCAGCAAUAUGUGAACUGUGAAAUUCCAGAUGUUCAAUCUGGUUUUAGGAAAGGCAGAGGAACCAGAGAUCAAAUUGCCAACAAUUGCUGGAUCAUCAAAAAAGCAAGAGAGUUCCAAAAAAAUAUCUAUUUCUGCUUUAUUGACUAUGCCAAAGCUUUUGACUGUGUGAAUCAUAGAAAACUGUGGGAAAUUCUGACAGAGAGGGGAAUACCAGAUUACCUGACCUGCUUCCUUAGAAAUCUGUAUGCAGGUCAGGAAGCAACAGUUAGAACUAGACAUGGAACAGCAGACUGGUUCCAAGUAGGAAAAGGAGUACGUCAAGGCUGUAUAUUGUCACCCUGCUUAUUUAACUUCUAUGGAGAGUACAUCAUGAAAAACGCUGGCCUGGAAGAAGCACAAGCUGGAAUCAAGAUUGCCAGGAGAAAUAUCAAUAACCUCAGAUAUGCAGAUGACACCACCCUUAUGGCAGAAAGUGAAGAAGAACUAAAGAGCCUCUUGAUGAAAGUGAAAGAGGAGAGUGAAAAAGUUGGCUUAAAGCUCAACAUUCAGAAAAACGAGAUCAUGGCAUCUGGUCCCAUCACUUCAUGGGAAAUAGAUGGGGAAACAGUGUCAGACUUUAUUUUGGGGGGCUCCAAAAUCGCUGCAGAUGGUGACUGCAGCCAUGAAAUUAAAAGACGCUUACUCCUUGGAAGGAAAGUUUUGACCAACCUAGAAAGCAUAUUUAAAAACAGAGACAUUACUUUGCCAACAAAGGUCUGUCUAGUCAAGGCUAUGAUUUUUCCAUUAUUCAUGUAUGGAUGUGAGAGUUGGAUUAUAAAGAAAGCUGAGUGCCAAGGAAUUGAUGCUUUUGAAGUGUGGUGUUGGAAAAGACUCUUAAGAGUCCUUUGGACUGCAAGGAGAUCCAACCAGUCCAUCCUAAAGCAGAUCAGUCCUGAGUGUUCAUUAGAAGGACUGAUGUUGAAGAAGAAACUCCAAUACUUUGGCCAGCUGAUGUGA
rnacentral:lncRNA from 1 species